rnacentral:misc_RNA from 1 species
UUUCCGUAGGUGAACCUGCGGAAGGAUCAUUCAUAAUAAAGUGUUUUAUGGCACCUUUUAAAAAUCCAUAUCCACCUUGUGUGCAAUGUUAGAUCUCGUCAAUCUUGGCGAGAUUUUUAUACAUCAACUCAUUCUUUAACUAAUUUGUCUGAAAAAUAUUAUGAAUACUUAAUUCAAAAUACAACUUUCAACAACGGAUCUCUUGGCUCUC